UGGGGAAUUUUGGACAAUGGGCGAAAGCCUGAUCCAGCAAUGCCGCGUGUGUGAAGAAGGCCUUCGGGUUGUAAAGCACUUUUGUCCGGAAAGAAAUCCUUGGCUCUAAUACAGUCGGGGGAUGACGGUACCGGAAGAAUAAGCACCGGCUAACUACGUGCCAGCAGCCGCGGUAAUACGUAGGGUGCAAGCGUUAAUCGGAAUUACUGGGCGUAAAGCGUGCGCAGGCGGUUUGCUAAGACCGAUGUGAAAUCCCCGGGCUCAACCUGGGAACUGCAUUGGUGACUGGCAGGCUAGAGUAUGGCAGAGGGGGGUAGAAUUCCACGUGUAGCAGUGAAAUGCGUAGAGAUGUGGAGGAAUACCGAUGGCGAAGGCAGCCCCCUGGGCCAAUACUGACGCUCAUGCACGAAAGCGUGGGGGAGCAAACAGGAUUAGAUACCCCUGGUAGUCCACGCCCUAAACGAUGUCAACUAGUUGUUGGGGAUUCAUUUCCUUAGUAACGUAGCUAACGCGUGAAGUUGACCGCCUGGGGAGUACGGUCGCAAGAUUAAACUC
rnacentral:rRNA from 1 species